rnacentral:tRNA from 1 species
UGGUCUAGUGGCUAAGACUCUGCACUUCCAAUGCAGGGGACUGGGGUUCGAUUCCUGG